rnacentral:rRNA from 1 species
CAGUAGCCGCGGGAAUACGUAGGUCCCGAGCGUUGUCCGGAUUUAUUGGGCGUAAAGCGAGCGCAGGCGGUUAGAUAAGUCUGAAGUUAAAGGCUGUGGCUUAACCAUAGUACGCUUUGGAAACUGUUUAACUUGAGUGCAAGAGGGGAGAGUGGAAUUCCAUGUGUAGCGGUGAAAUGCGUAGAUAUAUGGAGGAACACCGGUGGCGAAAGCGGCUCUCUGGCUUGUAACUGACGCUGAGGCUCGAAAGCGUGGGGAGCAAACAGGAUUAGAGACCCCAGUAGUCCCUGUCUCUUAUACA